rnacentral:lncRNA from 1 species
GGCCCAUUGCGGUGCACCUACGAUGGCUGAAGUUGCGUUCUUUGCAUUCUUGCCAUUAUAAAUUAUGUCAUGAAAAUAGAGCACCAUGCUCUUACAAGGUUUCCUGGCGCGGAUUUUUCGUGUUGUUGCAGCAGUAGAUAUGGAGAGGAGGGAGAGAAGGAAGAGAAGUAGCAGAAAUCUCCUUGCUUCCAUUUUCAUUUCAGAGCAAGAAGGUUACAAAAAAAAAAAACUAUGGAAUCUGUGAUAGUAUGCUUUGAAUAAAACUUGAGCGGCUUUAUACAAGAGCUUUCAACUGCAAAACUUUUAGGUUAUUCUGUUGGUUAAUUAAAUAUGAAGUAAUGCUUGGCUUUGAAGGAAUAAUUGGAUAGCAGUAACUCCACCAAAAAGUGACUACCCUUAUCCAUUGAAUUCAAUCUGCACCCUAGGCGUUUAACUGAUCGUUUUGAUAGCGUCAGAUCAAAGAUUAGCACAAUUAUUGGAUGCUGCAGGGAGAUUUGGUAGAGCAACAUUAGUGUUCUUACUGUAUGAAUGAAAUUAUGGAAUCCUUUGACUUUAGUUAGUUGACUGUAAGCUAAAGGAUGUUAUGGUGAUAAAUGGGCAAUAUGAUCUGCGACAAUGGAAUCAGUUUCACAGUUAAUUACAAUGCAGUCUUAUUCACAGUUUUGUUUUAAAGAGAAAACGACAUUUUAAUGUUGUUAAUAUUUUGGGGAUUGAACAUGCAUUAACUUCACUUUACAACUCAUGUCACGCUAAAUAUUUAAGAAAAUAUAUAUAAAUAAGAUUCUUUAAUCUCAUAUAGGCAGAUAAGAUAAUUUUGAAAAGUUUAUAAGUAUUGAUCCUGUAAAUCUCUUCAAGUUAGUAUUUUGGACAUGUUGACAUAUCAGUGUCACAUGACAAUUUAAAAAAAUAAAUUUUUGCCACGUCAUAAGAAUUACAUUGAACAAAAAUAUAUAAUACAAGAAUUAAAUUAAACAAAAUUAAGAUAUUGAGGGACUAAAUUAAAAAAAUAUUUAAAAAAUAUAAAUUUUUAAAUAAAUUAUUGAUAUGUAUAUUAAUAAGCCAAAUAUUUAAGUGUAAAAGAUUUACAGUGUUAAAAAAUAUAUAUAUUUUCUUACUGAUUAUUUGAUUUUAAAAUAUGUAAAUUAAUUUAUCUUUUUUACAAAAACUAAGUUUGAAUUCUCCUUUUAUAAAAAAAAUUGAAAAAAUUUCAUACUUUAAGUCAAAUUUAGAUAAAUAAUUUAUAUUACGUUAAAAUAAAAUAAUAUAAAAUGACUAAAUAAAUUCUUUUUUUUUCUAUUUAUAAUAGUAUAAAAAUUUGAAAUUUAUUUAACUUAGUUUUUUACUUGAGCUAAAAUCAAAUUAGCAAAAUAUGUUGAUUUAAUUUUUUUCUUUUAAAAAGAUGAAAAUCAGAGAUAUGGAGUUAGUGAUGAUUAUAAAAAUAAUUUCUUAUUUUGAAUUGUUUAAUUUGGACAUGACAAACCUUUUAUUACAACUAUAGAAUCUGAGCUCCAUCCUUCUAAUUUUUUUAUUUUUUUAUGUUUUUAUUUUGUUUAAUAUUUCAAGUUAUAUUUUUUAAGUUGAAAUUUCAUAAAUUAAAGACUGCAAUUAUUAUUGAUAAAGUUAAAUAUAACUAUAAAUAUUUGUACCAUUUUAUUUUAUUGUAAAUUUUUUGUAGAUCUAAAUUAAUAAUUAAAUUUAAAUUUAGCAGAAUUUGAUUGUAAUGUUUGAAUUUAAAUAAAAUUGUUUUAUAAAAAAUUUUGAGUAAAUUUAAAUAAAGUAUAAAUUGGGUAAGAAUUGAAUAAUUUCAAAAGAAUGUGUAUUUAUAAAUUGUGAAAGUUGUAACUAAAUCAACAUAUUUUGCUAAUUUGAGUAAAUUUAAAUAAAAGGUAAGUUGAGUAAGUGUUGAAUAAUUUCAAAAUAAUGUGUAUUUGUAAAUUAUGAAAGUUAUAACUAAAUCAAAAUAGUUAGUUAUUUUAUAUUAUUUUAUUUUAACGUAUGCAAGGUAUUCAUUUAAAUUUGACUUUAAGUAUGAAUUUUUUUUNAGAUUUUUAUUUUUCAAAUAUUUUUUUCAAUUUAGUCCUCAACAUCUCAAUUUUUGUUCAAUUUAGACUCUGUAUUAUAUAUUUUUGUUCAAUUUAGUCCCUAUGAUGUGGCACAAAAAAAUUUUUGGAAAAUUUUUGACCUGCCACGUGCACUAACAUGUCAGCAUGUCAUUGCCACAUCAUCGUAUAGUGCCACGUUGCGUUGUCACGUCAUCACUCGAUAUCACAUCAUCAAAAUAUGUCACAUCAUCAAAAUAUGACACAUCAUCACUGAUAUCAUCGUUGACAUCAUUUUUUAACGGUAAAAUUGGAUGUCGCUGGGGAGAGGGAUUGAAUUGACGCAAUAUUCAAAAUCAAAAGAUUAAAUUACUUCGAUUUUAAGUAUAAAGACUAAAUUGAACAAAAUUAAAAAUACAGGAACUGAAUAGGUCUUUUAAUCAAAAAAAUUGAACCAACAAAUUAGCAUAUAUAACAUCAAAAUAUGUUUUUCUAUCAAUUGUCAUUAAGAAUUACUUAAUUUUUUAUUCGAAUUAUGUGCUAUUCUAUGAUGGGUGUCGAUUAAUAUUAACAAAAAGUUUAUUCCUGUAUUGUCACUAUCCUUUCAGUAAUGUUUCAACUACUUACCUUAUAUAUUUUAAUCAUACCUUAACUAUUGUUAAUGAUUUUCCUCUUUUUCCCCAUUUGGAAAUAAUAAAUCUGUCUUUUCGUUGGACUCACCAACCAAAGUAACAAAAACUCCAAAAGCAGGUAAAGGCAUCAAAUUAUAAAGGACCGUGUACUAAUGAUUCUCUUUUCUUUUUUUUUGACAAAUAAUCGAUGGUUAUCACUUAAUUGAAAAGAAUUAAUUUAUUGUUAUAUUAUCAUAAAUUAAAAAUAUGAGUUCAUAACAAGUAAUCUGAAAAUUAAAAUCGAGAUAAAUUUAAAAGUUUUUUCUUCAAUAAAUAAAAGAGUUAAUACAAUGAAGAUGUUAUAAAAUUAAAUGCGAUAAAAUGUCACGAAUUAAUACUGAUUUUGUAUGGAAAGACAUAAAAGGGUGUUAUUAAAGACAAUUGAACAAGCCAUGACAAAAACGUCAAAAAUAACGAAACCAACUUUACAACUACUGUUCUUAAUUUCUUUCUAUCCACACUACCUAGUAGACAAGGACUACGUACCAACAUGGGGGAGAGAGAAGUAAAGCAACUGUGCCUCUGCUAAAGCAAUUAAAAGACUUUUAUUGUUUUUUACCGAACAUACAGCUUUGCAUAACAAAACAGAGACGCAAUAUUCAGAGGGCCUAACCACAAUAGAGCCUCGUACAGUGUUGCCAUUGAUGAAACUCUUCACGACUCAACAAACAAAUAUUUGGAAAAUGAAAAAUACAACUUGAAUUUGACAAUCGAUUGUUGGCAUAGCUAUAGCAAGUACUUAAACUUGUUGCCAACAUUCAUACAAUUUAAUAUCGGUACGAAGGCGAAAGUAUACUUCCCCUUCAAAGGCAUCCGUCAUCAAAGUAGCCACUCCUCUAGCCAUGAAGAAGUCACCGGUUCCACCAAUUACUGAGAUAUCCCUGGUCUUGUUCAUCAAUGGAUCAGCCCCAGCAAAGUUUAUGCUUCCCUUAUGCUCGGUAGAAUUGAAAACAAAAGAGAACCCCAACCAAGCAGUGAAAAUCUCUUUCUUAUCAUAGAAAUAAAAGCCUUGCGCACGACCAACUGGGGUUGAAUGCAGAUUGUUAUCUAAGGUAAUGGGAUCAUCAAACACAGCCAAAUCUCCAAAAUGGUUCUGUCCUGCCAAAAGGGUUCUAUUGGCCCAUUGCGGUGCACCUACGAUGGCUGAAGUUGCGUUCUUUGCAUUCUUGCCAUUAUAAAUUAUGUCAUGAAAAUAGAGCACCAUGCUCUUACAAGGUUUCCUAGCGCGGAUUUUUCGUGUUGUUGCAGCAGUAGAUAUGGAGAGGAGGGAGAGAAGGAAGAGAAGUAGCAGAAAUCUCCUUGCUUCCAUUUUCAUUUCAGAGCAAGAAGGUUACAAAAAAAAAAAAAAAAAAAACUAUGGAAUCUGUGAUAAUAUGCUUUGCAUAAAAGUUGAGCUGCUUUAUACAAGAGCUUUCAACUGCAAAACUUUUGGGUUACUCUGUUGGUUAAUUAAAUAUGAAGAAACGAUUGGCUUGAAAGUAAUGAUUGGAUAGCAGUAACUUCCACCAAAAAGAGACAACCUUUAUCCAUUUAAUCAUUCUUCAGUCGGCACCCUAGGGGUUUAACUGAUCGUUUUGAUAGCUUCAGAUCAAAGAUUAACACAAUUAUUGGAUGCUGUAGGGAGAUUUGGUAGAGCAACAUUAGUGUUCUUUCUUUAUGAAUGAAAUUAUGGAAUCCUUGGACUUAGUUAGUUGACUGCAAGCUAAAGGAUGUUACGGCGAUAAAUGGGCAAUAUGAUCAGCGACAAUGGAACCAAGUUCACAGUUAUUAAUAUUUUGAGAAUCGAACAUAUAUUAAUUUCACUUUACAAUUCAUGUCACGCUAAAUGUUUAAGAAAACGUAAAUAAAAUUUUUUAAUUUCAUAUUGGAGAAACAAGAGAAUUUUAAAAAGUUUAUAAGUAUUGAUCCGGUAAAUCUUUGUAAGUUAGUUUUUUAAAAAGAUGAUAACAAUAUAUUCUAAAAAUAAUUUUAAAUAAAAAUAUGAUAAAAAGUAUUGUCAAAUUAAAAUUAUUUAAUAUUUAAUGUUUCUUUUUCUUGUGUUUUUUUCAUAAUUUGUAAAUUAAAUUUAAGUAGCAUUCUAUUGCGUUACAAUAGUACAUUAGUUAAUUUUUUUCACCAAGAAUUAGUUAGUCACCCCAUCUAAUUAAAUAAUUUUUUUCCAGCUGUCAUAAUGACCAUAUGUACUAGUGCAGCAUGUAUAUAGGUGGAGGUUGGUAGUCUACCAAAUGGUUCAUUUGGGUGAAAAAGGGGGCAUUUUGACUGAACAUGUACCAGGAAAUUAGCAUUAAUUUCCUGAGCUGAUCAGUGAUCAUACAUCCCCCUUGAAAGGCAUAGGACUAGGGAUUCGGUACCAUUUCCAAAGCCUAACGGAGCUUGACUUCUUUAAAAGGCCUGCAGAGUACAGACUCUAGGUACAUCGAUCCCUUGAGGAAAGACAGAAGGAUACGAGUAGUACCACUGAGCCACGCGGCUGGGAUUUCUGUUUGUGGUCUUUUUGGGUAUGGUCUUGUUAGCCUUUCAGUCUUACUGCCCUAGCACUUGAUCAAAUGUUGUUUGACCAUUGCUAUAGGAAGAGUUGAUCCCUUCAUUUUUUUCCUUGCUAAGAAUCUCUCUUUGGUGUUCAUUAUCUGAAAGAUAAUAAUUUGGUGUUCAUUAGUAUAGAAAGAAUUACAAGUCAUCCUGGUUCAAAGUAAAAUAAUAAAGAAUAAAUAAAUUAUAGAAGGUCAAUUUUGCUCUCCACUGAAUUUCUAUACUACAUAUGUUCACUUUCCAUAAUUUAUUUAUUCUUUAUUAUUUUCAUUUGAUCAAGGAUGAAUGGGAAUUGCCAUAUAUGGCCUUUAUUUUGGAUAUCACAAAGGAUUAUUAGUCCUUAGUACCGAAUCAGAAGGAGUCAAUUUAAGGGUAGACUGGCAAAAUAAAAAGAGAGAGAGAGCAAGAGCUUCCAUUUUCAGAUUCAACGUAUAUCAAAGCAUCUUGUCCUGCUAUGCCUAAAUCCUCCCCAUAGACUUUUCUGCUUGAGCCCGGAUUUGCUACCUACUGCUGUCGCUGUAGUUGCACUACUAAAAUAUUAUACUUGCAACGUGAAACGGAAGUCUAAAACAUGUGGACAACUUUUAUAUUUCAUUGUAUCUGCACCACAAAUUAGCUCCAUCUCCAGUUGUAUUCCAUUUUGUACUUUAGUAAAAAGGCAAAUUGUAGCCCAGAACUUCUGCUGGAAUCCCAUUUUUUCCAAGUCAAAAUCUGACAACCGAUGCUAGCAACUGCCAUAUUGGAGAAGACCGGAUGAAGAGUGACAGCCAUAAAGGCUCAGUCUUCCGAUAAUGAUAUGAAUAUGAUCCAAAUGUAAAGACAAGAAGCAGAAAAGUGAAGGCAAGGUACACCUACGCUAAUUAGACACUUGAUUAUUAGCAUUUAGCAAUGGACUUAGGUUUUCUAUAUUGUGGUGAUGGUGAAGUCAGUGUAAUUGAGACAUGAAUGGAAAAGACAGAGACCGUAGGAAUUCCUUUAAUUUUUGGGACGUCUUCUGUCGCUUCUGGUGAACAUGUAUUCAAUAGGCCAAGCAGAAUGACUUGAUAAGAAACGUGAGAUAUUAUAGCUGCAAAGGAAAGGCAUCCUCGAAUUGUGGAUGACGAAUUAUUUAGAAAAUUGGUUAAUAUUGGUUUCUUUUAUUUUGGAGUAAUUAGCUCUCCAAAUUUAUUGUUAUUUCCUACGUACUAAGAUUCUCUUACAUCAUGUAGGUUUUGGUCUCCACAAGAAUCUCAGCAGUUAAAUCUCUUAUAGUGUAAUCUAAGAUCGAACAGGAUUUCCAUAUAACAGAAUGUUUAACUGGAAAAGGAAUUAGAAGUGGCAAAGGUUCAACAAGAAUCAUAGAGUGCAGAACUGACUGUGUAGAUGUUUCACGUUUCAGUACAUUUCAGCACAUGCCCUAUCACACUCACUACAAAACAAAGCAUACUUAUUUUCACUCACUUAUUAUCUCAUUUUCUAUAUUGUACUUGUUCUUCAAUUUGCUUUAUCACCAGCAUUCAUAGAACUUGAUAUCAACUUUGAGCCUGAAAUACACUUCCCCUUCAAAGGCAUCGGUCGUCAAAGUUGCGACUCCCCUGUGCAUGAAAAAGUCUCCGGUGCCACCCACAACUGAAAUGUCUCUGGUCUUCUGCAUCAGGGGAUCAGCUCCAAUGAAAUUUACGGUGCCCUGGUAGUUCGUGCUGUUGAGAACAAAUGAAAAGCCUAGCCAAGCGGUGAAGGUGUUUUUGGUAUCAUAAAUGUACAUGCCUUGAGCCCUGCCAACAGGCUUUGAGUGAAGGUUGUUGUCCAGGGUAAUGGGAUCAUCAAAAACUACUAUGUUCCCGAAAUGGAACUGACCUGCCAGGAUGGUCAGGUUAGCACCUUGUGGUGCUGCAACAAUGGCGGAUGUGGCAUUCUCCCUGUUCUGGCCAUUGUAAAUUAUGUCAUGGAAGUAGAGAACCAAGUGUUUGCAUGGUUUGUAUUGCUUAUUCUUGAAUGGAUAGGCUGAGGAUACAGCAAGAACCGUGAAAAAAGAAAGAAGAACGCAACUUUUUGAUGCCAUUACUUCUAUAUCUGAUUACAGAAGAAAUAGCAAACAAAAGAGAAAGUGGGAUUAUCCCAAUCUUAAUGAAUGAAUUCUAGUUCUGCUAGCAACUGUGAGGUUUACUCUCCCUCACUUCCCUCUAUAUAGGGCCCGCUUCAUGGAUUUUGCGUGGAAGACUGAAAGUAGUUGGUAAGAGCACACCAAUGUCAAUCUCAUAUUCAAAAGUGUCACAGCAUCUCGUACCUGCUAUGGAAAAAUCGUUGCCAUCAAUCAUCCAUUUAGACUUUUCAGCUUAAGCUCGAAUCUGCUACCGACAACUAUCGGAUAGGCAUAAUCGUUAAAUUAAAAUAUGAGAUACAUAUUUUACCUUUAAUAUCCAAUAUCGUUUCAGGAAAUAUUAUAAAAAUUUUAAAAUUAAUUAUAAAUAAUAUUUCUAUGUAAAAUAAAAAAUUUGAAAAAUAUUAUAUUUUUUAAAAAAAUUAAAGAUUAUAGGACAUAGAUUGAAAAGAUGAUUAUUUUUUUAAUUUAAACUUUCAACAUAAUUCUUAAUAAUAUAGAUUUUUAAAUAAAAUAUACAUUUAUUAUAUUAAUUUAUUAAUUAAAAAUUAAAAAACAUUUAUCAUGUUAAAAUUAAAAAGAAAUUUAAUUUUUUAGUAUUUUUUUGUUUAAAAUCUAAAAAUUAAAACUCAUAAAAUAUAAUUUUUCAUGUUCCAACUUAAAAAAAUAAAAAAUAAAAUUUUUAAUAAUUAAUUAAAAUUAAGCUUAUAAAAAGUGUAUCGACUAUAUGGUACGAUAUGUUUCAUAUCAUAAAAUACAUAUAGUACAAUAUGCUUUUGAUAUUAAAUCAAGUACGAUAAAAUCAUAAAUAUAUAUAGUUUUUUAUUAGUAUCAUGUCGUAUCAUACUAUACAUAUCUAUUACGUAUUGUAUGAUAAUUAUAACUAUAACUAUAAAUACACCAUUAAAAUAAAUAAAUAAGCAAAUUCAAACGGAAAUCUAAUAAUUAUUGAUAACGUUUAUAUUUCACUCCAUUUGUAAGACUAUCUCUCUGCUUGUAUCGAUUUUAUUAUUAAGCAAAAAUAAAAAAUGUAGGCGGCUUCUACCCAUAAUCCCAAUUUUCUUAAGCCAAAAUCAAAACACGAUAGCAUCAAUGUUAGCGACUGAUGACUAUCAUGGAAUUUACGUUCGAAAGGCGACAGAAGCUUCGAUAAUGAUAUGAAUAUGAUCCGUGGGGAAAGGCAACAAGCAGAAAAGUAAUUGCGUAACAGCUAAGUGGGGCACUUGACAAUGGACUAAUCUUUUGGCUUAGAACCAAGAAAAUGAAGAUAUUGAAGAGUUUAAGAUGACAGGCAUACCAAGCAGAAUGACUUGGAUAUAAAACGUAAGAAAUUAGCUGCAAAUUAUCAUUAAUGGUGUCCCAGGAACUUUUGGAACAUAUACCUAGUUCUCCCUAUUCAUUGUUAUUUCCUUGACAUUCUCUUACAUCAUGUUAGUCAUCUUGGCCUCCAGGGGCAAACUGAACAAUCAAAACUUAAUUAGAAAUUCUGGCUUUGAAUCUUGGGAGUGAGGAUUGGGGUUUUAUUAUUUGAUGAAAUGAUUAGAUUAUUUCCAAUUGGUGUAGUUCAAGAUCCAGUGGGAAUUUUUACGAAACAAUAUAGUAAUUGUUCAACCAUAUCCGAAGCUAGAAUUCAUAGGUAACUCCACCUCCAUCCUCACAGAUCAUACAAGUAAUUAUUUAGUCCAUAAUAUAUUUAUGAUUACGCAAUGAAAGUCACUGUCAGUUAACGUUUGGGUCCUGUCUAAGAACGUGCAAAGGGGUCCCUUCCGAUUAUUGAGUUGUCUCAAUUAUUUCUUUUUUGCUUUCCAUGGAAACUUUGGGGGGGAAAGAUUGGUGGAGUAGGUGUGUUCGAUUUUUAUUUUUAGUGACAAACCCACUUUCUUUGUUCUUGGUUGGUGAAUGAAAUCUUCUUCUCAAGGCUGCGGGUAAGAUUCAAAGAAGGUCGGCUUUUCUUAGCAAUGCACCAAUGGCUACACCAACAUCCACACACUGUUGAAAACUUCCAAGCCACAACAUAAUGGAAAUCAGGACUGGUGAGUAACUUGGCAGCAAAGUUGUGCAUCAGGGCCCAAUAUGAUAGUUAAUAAAGAUUGAAAGGAAUAAUUCAGACAAUAUAUAAUUUUAUAAAAAUGGCUUUGCAUGGAGGAAAGGAGAUUAAACAAUCAUGAAAGAAAAGUCAAAAUCAGUUUGCUUGAUUCUACGCAACUACACUAACGCAAUAAUUACGUGAUAAAUACUAACAAAUUAAGAAAUUAAAAACCCUUUGGGGAGUAGGCAUAAUCGGUCUAAAAUCAAAAGUGGUACCAUAAUUCCACUAGAAAGGCAAGAUUGCUUUGAUUGAUUACUAUAUCCAUGAUAACUGGUUGGAUAAACAACCUUUUGCAGUACACGAAUGAAGAGACUAAUUAGAAUUAUAAAUUAGGUCCAAUUACAUGGUUAGUGAGAGUAUCCAUGGGCUGGGCAGGCAUCCCGUUUGAAGAACCUGAUUUAGGCCAAGGGUCGCAUCUUAGCUAACAGUGGAUAAAGCUUCGGUUGGUUCGCCGACAUAGCCCAUUGGAAAAGUGGGUUUAAAGCCAUGUGCCCAUAGAAAUUUAUAACAUUCUUCAAAAGGAAGUCUCAAAAAAGGCUUAUUCCUUUAAUCACGUGGAGAGCAUGGGGGAAAAAAGGAAAAAAGAAAGAAAAAGAGAGGUAAAAAGAGAGAGAAAAAAACAAGUAGGAAGAGGCCCGUGUGCAACGCACGGGCCAUAGUCUAGUUGCUGUAAUACUAAGCACAGGAGUGCUCAGCUAAGCUCUUUUUGAUGCUCUUUAUCAUUUCAUCACAAAAGAUAUAAAGGUCUUUAUUGAAGUCACAUUGCAAUAACACACAUAGGAUAUAUGAAGACCGCAAACAGAGGGCCUAAGCUAGCUAGUAGCAUUCAUACAGCUUAACCUCCAUCUUAAAGCGAAAAUAAUAGUUAUCUUGAACAAAGUCGGGAUAAAUUGUGAGAAUCCCUCUGGCCAUGAAAAAGUCUCCCCCGUUCCUCCAACAAUGGAGAGAUCCCUAGUCUUUUGGCUAAACAGAUCCGCACCCAUUACGUUCACUGUUCCCUUAUAUUCAGUGGAGCUGAACACCAAAGUGAAAGCAAACCAAGCAUUGUACUGCGUUUUGCCAUCGUAGAAAUAGAACCCUUGCGCUCGCGCAGCUGGAGGAGAAAAAAAGCUGUUGUCUUUCGUCAUAGGAUCGUCGAAGAUCACCAACAUGCCAUAGUUGUAGUUGCCAAAAGCAGUGGCGUUGAGGACCGCAAUGGACGUCGCGUUAGCAACAUCGUCGCCGCUAAAGCGGUUGUCAUGGUAAUAGAGAGAAAAGCGGUUGCAUGGUUCCCGUUGUUUCAACGUUUUUCUGGUGGCUAAAACUGAUUGAGACACGAGGAAAAGGGUGAAGAACAGAAUACACAAAUAUGACUUCUGUGGUGGCUAAUCAAGAUAGCAAUCAUCCUGCUUUAAUUUGCUGCUUCAAAAGCCAGCUUAAUUAUAUAUAUAGAGCAAUUCAAGAGGUUGGUAUAUAUCAUAAUUUGGUGGAAAAUGCUUGGGGCAGACAAUUGUGCUAGAAUCAUUGAAGUAAAUAAAGACAUUAAAUACAUUUCGUCCAUUUUUUUUAAUAUUUCGGUUAGGAAAAAUAAUACUAUUUGCGGAAAGCAUGGGCAUUAAAUUUAAUGAGAGCUCAAAUUUGACUUGCAGAUUGGACAAAACCAAGUUUGUUCAGUGUGUUAUUUGGGAAGCAUUUCUUUUGAUGACUUCUUUAUCAAAAAAAUUUGAAGAUCUUCGUACUUUGUCUCAUGUAUAUAAAUAAUUUCUCAUGCCUGGGUUUUUAAAUAGAGACUACCGCUGCUGCGCUGCUAGCACUAGGUGAUAGCCUCUCUUAACAGCUUAAGCAUGACUUAGAAGGAGAUGCUUAAUUAGGUAAAAGUUGAAGUCAACCAAACAGGACUUAAUCAAGCUCCUGCGUCAUCGCCCCACUUUGGGUCAAGGAUAUUCCGGUUAGCCGGAAUGUUGAACGGAGCCAGCUUAGCAUGAGAUUUUUUUUUUUGUUUGUUUGUUUGUUUACAGAGGAAUCUGGAGAAAGACCGUUUUUUGAUAUCAGGAGUUUCCAUUUGAUCAUGGCGGUUGCUGAGGAUGCUGGGGCAAAACCCGGGUCAUCAGGUCAAAACUUGAAAAACACUGUAGUAGAAUUCAUGGGAAGUGAAAGUGAGAUGCAUUUGCCAAAAAUCAGGGGAAAACAGCUAUUCUGUCUGGGUUGACAAGUGAAGAUUAUUGUUAUUAUGAUGCUCUUCCUGUUUAUUAAAUUAUUCAGACAAUUUAUAAUUUUAUGAAAAUGACUUUGCAUGGACAAAGGAGAUAAAUAAUCAUGAAGACAGGUCAAAAUGAGUUCCCACAAUUCCACUAGAAAGGCAAGAUUUCUUUGAUAUUGAUUACUAUAUCUAUGAUAAUGAUUGGACAAAUAAUCUUUUUAAUUAAAAACGUGUCUAUAUAUAUAUAUAAGUUUUCUACCAUUCAAAAAAAAUUUAAAAAAAAGGUUUUGAUUGGACAAUGUUAAAGGGGAGGGAUUCAAUUGCAUAAAAUUUCAAUUAAAAACUUAAUUAAAUUAAUUAAUUUUAAAGUAAAGUUAUUAAAUUGACAAAAACACCAUAUACCUCUUAAUUACUUUGACCAUUUUAAUUAAGCACAAGAGAUAUCAAAGUCUUGUUCCGCAAACAAAAGGCCUAGGUAGCUAGUAGCAUUCAUGCAACCUAAUGUCCAUAUUAAAGCGAAAUUAAUAGCUAUCUUGAACAAAGUCUGGAUAAAUUGUGAGAAGAUUUGUAAUUUGUUGCUUAAAAAUGGUUGUCGUUUUUCUUCCACCUAUCACCAUGGAAUCUAUUCCCAUCGAUCUGCUCGUGGCUCCAUUAAUGAAAUCAGCAUCUCUUGUUGAGGUAAGUCAUGUUCCUCGUGUAUAUGAUUUCAUUGGUGCUUUAAGUCAAUAACAGUAACGAUGGAAUUACUCUUCAAAAAAAAAAGGCUCAUUUUGAUCAUUGAAUAUUAAAGAAUAAUACGAGACAACAACUGUUAAUUACGAAGGCAACGACUGUUGAAGCCAAAUCAGCAGGCAGGCAGCACCUUUUUUGACAUUAGCAAUUCCUUUGGAGCACUACGCCUGACAGCUCCCAUGGAAUAACUAGACAUAAUCUUCCCAACGACUUGUUGCCGGAUUCGACGUACUAUCAGCUCUCAAGACAAUGACAUUUCUUUAACAUGGUAAAAGGGAACUUUCUUGGAUCCCGCACCGCACUGCACCCUUCAUACGCACUGAAUAUACAGAUCCAUGCAGAUUCAGUGUCUCUGUUCCGUACGUUCAAACGUACCUGAAGUUGUUCUACAGACAGUAGACAAUGAAAUUUUGAAUCAAGGGUUGAGUUUUGCACUUUGGGUUCUAUUUUCGGAUCAGAGAAGCAAUGGAAAUCAUUUCAUCAAUGUUGAAGGAAAGAAACUGGGGCAUCUGGGACAUCUGCAUUACUUUAAUUCUGAAGCUAGGUAGAACACAGAAACUAUGCACGUUCCGUAUAGCUUGCACAUCCCGUCACGUUUUUGUUAAUUUAAACGGGACAAAAUAUUGUUGUUAGAAUGUCGAACCAAGAAUCCAGUUGUUCUAUGUCGACCAGGCAACCAAUUUACGAAGAAAAAAAAAUUAAAAUUGGUCAGGAGCCAAUAGCAGAUAUGUCAGCAGACAGGAUCAUUGAGGAGCAUCGGGUAUGAAUCCCCAGUCAAGACUAGUUAGUUAGGCCAAAACCCCGUGAUCAGCUUUGAUUCUAUUUCGUAUCAAGAUCAUAUAAAAGAGAGGAAAUUAUUUUGCUAACUGGGAUAAGAUUUGCAUUGAAUUAAAGCUUUGUACAAACAGAUGGAAACAAUGACAUCUUUGCAAACCUAAGAUUAAUUAGGAUUGCAAACUUGCUACCACGUAUACAUAGAAUACACAAAUCACACCCAAACAUCAAACUAUAAAACCUAUUGCAAUCUGUUUUAAUUUGAUUAUUUAUAUUGAUUUUAGACUCAACCAAACCUAGCACGUGGCUAAUUAACCAAGCCUAUAUAUUGUUUAAUGGCAUUCAUACAACUUAAUAUCCUUCUUAAGGCGAAAGUAUUUGUCACCCUGCAUAGUGUCAGUCUUAAAGGUAGCAAUGCCUCUAGCCAUGAAGAAAUCUCCUCUUCCCCCAACAACUGACAGAUCUCUAGUCUUCUCCAUCAUCAUAUCCGCACCCAUAAUGUUUAGAGUUCCCUUGUGAUGACUUGAGUUGAAGAUCAAAGUGUAAGCAAACCAAGCAUUGUAGUCGGUUUUCAUGUCGUAGAAAUAGAAACCCUGUGCUCUUGCAACAGGAUGGGAAAGGAGGCGCUGGUCUUUUGUCAUGGGAUCAUCGAAUACCACAAGCAUCCCAAAGUUGAAGUUCCCUAGCUUAGUCAUAUUGGUAGCUGCGGCAGAUGUGGCGUUAGCCAUGUCAUCGCCACCGAAGAGGAAGUCAUGGUAGUAGAGCAUGAAUCGUUUGCAUGGUUUUUGUGGGUUCAAUGCUUUUUGGUAGCCCAAACAGAGUGUUGAGAUACAAGCAGGAAUAAGAAGACAAGGCAACAUGAUUUCUCUACAGGAGAUCUCAUGGCUAAUUAAGGCUAGUUUAAUUGAUGCUUCGUGGUUGAUAAAACUAAAUCUCUUCAGAUAUAUAUAGAGAGAGAGAGAGAGCAGCUGCUAAAUACUGUUAUUUGUUACUCACACAAAAAAGCGGAAGCAUGCUGUCCUUUUCUGCUAAGUAUUAAGUCGUCUAGAAAAUAUACUUGCCCAACGAAUCUUUGUGGCCAUUUCAUUGUAUGAUAAAUGCUUAAGACAGUAGUAGUUAAAUCUAUUCAAUCAGCAAAGCUUGAAUCUUCCACGGAGGGGUUCAGAAAAGACAGCCGCACGACGGAUAAUUUAUUACAAUUAACUAAUUUAUAGCUUGAUUAGGCUUUGCUAAUUAUGGAUCUUAGUUCAAACAAAGAAGAAAAGAAAGAACGUUUAAAAGUGCUUACGAAUUUGUAUAGAUUACAGACCAAUUGUUUACUUGAAAGUAACAGUAUAUUGAUUUAACUUUAUUUUACUUAGUCUUUUCUUAAUCUCCCAUUAACAUUUAAUUAGUCUUUUCUAAAUCUCCUUUUAACCUCUUAUUGUUCCGCACUUAAACCAUCUAGUAUUCUCUUUGGACAAUGACAUGCAUUAGGUUUGUCAUCUCAGAAUAAGAAGUAUUAUGUUUUCAAGAUUUCACUCUCGAAUCCAAACGACAGAAAUUAGUUGAUAUAUGAUAUGAUCUAAAGUUUAAUUAUUAUUCUCUCUCCUUAACCAGAGAGAGAGAGAGAGAGAAGGAAAACACAAAAACACAGAAGAGGGUAGAUAAACCCAGACCUUCGUGUUAAUAGACUUCAAUCUAAUGGAGAAAGGCAACAACUGGGUGCAGAGUUGAGUCAGUUUCAAGGAACAGAAACAAGAAGAGAAACACAAGCCCUGCAGACGGCCAAGCAUUAUCUUCGAGUGGCUGGGUCAUAUUUGUGAAGAGAAGCUGUAACCCAUCACUGUCCCACUACUUUUCUUCCCCGUUAUUUUGUCAGCAGUGCUACUCCUCUAUGCAAACUUGUUGAAGAAUGCAAAUCUAGUUUCCCUCAAUGCGUUAGGCAAUCUUCAGUCGGACCCUACAGAUACACAUUUUCAUUCGUUGGUAUCUUUACUUUGCCCAUGGCUCAGCCGGAUUCCACUGCUAACUAGCAAUGACUUUCCCAAUCAAUUAUAAGUCAGCCGUUUUACUCCAGCGAUUUGCAGAAACAACAGAAGCCAAUCCUAUGCUUGCAUUGUAGCUACAUAUCCAAACACCACUAGAAUCUCUCAAUAAUCAGCCAGUGAUCGGCACCAAAUGUGUCGUGGCAGUAUCAAUAGCAUUCAGCUUAGCUAAAACAGAAUUUCAUUUCUUUUCAUCCUGUUUGCAAGAAAGCUUCUCAAUAACUUCACUCCCCUCUAAUUCAAUCUCUUUAGCAUAGUUACUAGCUCUAAUCAGGAUUCUUUGAAUUCAAGAAAUUCCUCAAGCAUUUCAAUUUCAGUAAGACUACCCAAAUCAAGGUUGAAAAGCACAUCCAUGCGCAGUCAAGUUACUUUAAGUAUGUAAAUUGUACAUGGAAAUUCAACAAUUAGAAAAAAUAGAUACGUUUCAAUUCAAGUAAAGAAAUACAUUUAUCAAAACUAUUCAAAGAAAGGUUGAGAAUGCUAAAAUAACUUUCAAAAGUAAGGCUACAAAACAAGAUUAAUUCUCACCAAUCUCGAAAUUCCCCAAGCUCCAAGGGAAGCCAAGACUUGUCCAAAUCUUUGCCAUGUCACCAAGAAACUCGCCAGUUAAACUAACUGCCAUAUUGUUCCUCCAAUCUUCAUCAGGUUUGUAGUUUUGCACGGUGAACCAAUUAAUCAACCGCUUGAGGAGUUUCUCAAAAGACAACAAAUUGUUUUUUUGUUCUCUUACACUCAACAGGGCCCUGUUUUAAUAGUUGGAGGUUCCUCACAUCGACUCCUAGUGACUGAUUGUCAGAGCACAAAUUUCUUGGAGAAUCUAGCCUACUAUCCACUUGCAUCCUUGUUACGAAGCCUAUAAACUAUACGUCCCUUGGUUGAAUCAUAAGGACUCAAUUCAACUCUAACUCUGUCUCCAGGCAAUACUCGUACGAAAUUUUUUCGUAUCUUUCCAGAAAGAUAACCUAGAAUUAAAUCUUGAUUGUCUAAAAGAACUCGAAACAUACCAUUGGGAAGUGAUUCAGUAAUUAAACCUUCAUGAACAAAUUUUUUGUCUCCCUGCUUCGCCACAGUUUUCUCGAUCUUACUUCUCACAAACCUAUCAUUAUCAGGGCCCCUUGAACUCGCCUUCUUGCAAGUUAUUCUUCUCGUUGUUGACACCUUUUUCAGAUUGAAUUUUACCCGGCUAAUGAAACAAAGAAUGGGCUUUUAAGGUGUUAGUUUUUCAUAGUUUGCAAACAGUAUUUUAAGAUUCAAAUUCUAGAUAUUUCAUCAUCCUUGAUGACAGAUAGGUUAUCUAAUGUAUCAGUUUCAUCAAUUACCAGAUAAAAUGCUUUAAAACCAUAAGAUUCCAUUUGGGUUUUGGAUUAAAAACCUAUCUUUACAGUCAAUUAACAAAAUUGAUACAGUAAGACACAAAAACCACCAACCAACUUCAAAACUAAUCAAACCCAUAUAUGCUGAUGUACUCAGAAGUAAUAUAGACAAAAUAAAACGAAUAAAAAAUUGGUUUUUAGCAGUGAAUCGAAAGCAAAAAAAAAAAAAAGAGCAUAAAUUUCAGAGUAACUUAAACAAAGAUGAUGGCCUACUUGAUGAAAAAGCAACUGGAAGCCGUAUUUUGGCGGGGAAGAACCAGAGAGAGAAACGGAGGAUGAAGAUUGGAGCAGAGGGAAGCCAUAAUCUCAAAACCCUAACUCACUGUAAAGCCGGAAUGGCGUUCAAUCCCCUCAAACCUGAUGUUAUCCGCUUAGAGUUAUACAGUGUGGCAGGGUGUAAGUUUUUUAAGUUACGCUACAGAUAUAACAAUGACACAUCGGCUGUUCCCGAAAUUCCAUUUCUUUUAACUUUAUUUGAAGUUUUGUUUUCCAUGGAAAAUUCUUUUCUUUGAUGUUAAAACCCUUCUGAGCACAUUUACAUUAAUAUAAUAUAAAAAAAUUCUUUUUUCCCUUUUCAAGAAAGAAAGGGAAACACACUUGUUGGAUGGUGGCCUGAAUUGAACCUAAAUCUUGGAAAGGGUCAACAUUAAACAUUAAUUGAUUUACAUAUUGAUUGGGAGGGAAAGAAGGUCUUUGGUAAUAGAUGAACGUUUUGAUGUGAUCUUCAACUAUUUCAUGUAAAAUCCAUACUAAACAGACAUUAUAAGAAGCAAGAAAAACAAUGUGAAUACGACUAUAUACAUAUAUAGCUAAGUAGAAAGAAUUUUCAAGUUACUAUUUAUCAUUUUUUUUUAAUUUUUUGCUUUGUGUACUGAAAAUUCCUCUACAUUGUGUACUCAUCAGGACAAAAUGUUCGGACAAUGAGAUUUAGCUGGAUUCUGAAUCUUUGUCAGGUGAUUCUUCCUCCAUGUCUGAAGCCAAAUUCAGAGAUACACGGCCAUGGUACUGUUGAACAACUAAGACUGAUGCUGUCGCUGAGAAAUCUGGAGAAAUCAGCAAACAACCUACAGGCCCCAGUUCUGGGCAUUCACUUCUCCUCAUUAAAGCUAAGGCCAACUCACCAUCAGGCAUUCGCCCCACGAGAACAAGAUUGCAGCGGCUUGCCUCACGAAUUGCAGCAAAGGUUUCUGUGGCAUUUCGGACAGCCUUUUCCUCAUAUCUGACAGAGUCAUCAUUUGAUAUUUUCUGCUUAAACUUGGAAAGAAAUUCUUCAUCCAAUGACAUUGAUUUGAGGCCGGAAUUCUCUUGCAUAUCAAUCCUAGCAAUUUCUCCAAUAGUUUCAGGUUCCACUACAAAGCGAAUAACAUUUAAACUGAUACCUGGGUGCUCAGCCAUUCGAGCCCCAUAAGCAAGGGCUUCACGAUCAUCACAGCCCCCAAAGAAAAGAACUGUCAUCGAAAGGGAAACAUUGCUUGCAGAUACAUGGGUGGUUCCACCAAGCCCACGAUCAACUAGAAUUCCAAUGGAACAAGGCGCAUGUUCAAGAACCCUCUGAUUCACCCAGCGGAAGUCUGUCCGCGUAGUCUCAAACGAACCAUCCAUUCUCUGGUGCUUAUGGAAUGGAAGAAUUAUGAUCGCAGCUCUCUUUCUCUCAGCAGUGGUACAGAUGUCCUCAUGCAUGUCAGCCAUUGAAGAGAUUGAAGUCAUUGACCGGACAGUUACUUGACUCAGUUGCUGGAAAGCUUCAAAUGCCACAACAAUAUGGUCAGAAUCUGAAUGCCGACCCUUAUUCCAGAAGGGAAGCCCAUUUUUCCUUGCCUUGUGUACCAUUAAUAUAGCUGAUGACCUCUCAGAUAGUUCCAUAAGGUGCAGAGCAUACACAGAAAAUCCUUCACGCUUCCCUACGCCUCGUGAAGCCUCAAGGAGAUUUAUCAUCGAUGGGAUAUUUCUUGAGCUGUGGAAACAGGUCAAUAUUCUAAGUUGAGUAUCUGGAUUUUUUCUUUCGAUGGUCCUAUGCUUGUAGUCCACUUUUCUGCUUCUUGCAGGCUUAUAUACAGCCAUAACAACUGGUGUGGUAAUGAAUGUAGUGAAGAGAGCCAUUAGAACCAUAAUGGCAAAUGUCUGAUCAUUCAGAACCUGAAAGUGAAAACAGCCAAAAUGCAUCAUUUAUUUCAUAAAAACCAUAAUGAAACAAGGCAAUGACUCUAGUCACUACAGGAGGAAAACUCAAUUUACCUUUCUAUCCCUCCCAAUAUUCAGAACAAUGAGUUCAACCAGCCCUUUAGUAUUCAUAAGGAACCCAAGCGCAAAAGCCUCACGAGCAGGAACUUUGCAGGAAAGGGACACCACAACAGUCCCAACAAUCUUCCCAAAACAUGCUGUAAAAAUCACCAAAGCCAGAAGACCCCAGGAUUGAAGCCCUUGAAUUGUUGCAAUGUUUGUCUUCAGUCCACUUGAAACAAAGUAUAAUGGCAAGAACAAACCAGAUACAAGAUCCUCAACUUUUUCCACAAGAGCACCGGCAAAUGGCCCUUCCUUUGGGAAAACAACUCCAACCACAAAAGCACCAAACAUGGCAUGAAUUCCAAUAGCAUCAGUUACAAACCCGGCGGCCAGAACAGCAGCUAAUGUAGCACAUAUGUAUAUCUCUUCUACUGGCUCACCUUCAUGGCAUCGAUAAGCCAUCCAUUUGAAUAUUGGGGGUACAAUGAAACUCAAACAAAUGACAAAAACACACCCAGACAAGAAGACCCACAGUGAUGCAGCGGGAGAACUGUUAGAUCCAGAAAGGGCAACAGCAAGAGCAAGUAGAAUCCAUGCAGCUACAUCAUUAACAGCUGCAGCUGACAUAGCAAUUCUUCCAACAUCUGUCGUUAAAAGCUUCAGCUCUGCCAGAAUGCGAGCUAAGACAGGAAAGGCAGUAAUAGAAAGAGCAACACCCAUGAACACGAGAAAUGCAGAAGCAUUGACACCUUUUGAUAUAGUUGCUUUGAGCAAAAAUGAAGAGCCAAUUCCUAAUGCAAAAGGAAGCCCUAUUCCAGCAACAGCAAUUCCAAGGGCUGUUUUUCCAGUUCGACGGAGGGCUUUAAGAUCUAUCUCUAGACCAGCAAGGAAUAAAAAGAAAAUGAGACCAAUGUUUGCCAGAGUAUCCAGUACAGUGAGACUCUUGGGUGGAAAUAUAGCUUGCAAGUAGCUCUUGCUUCUACCCAGAACAGAUGGCCCAAGUAAAAUUCCUCCCUGGUAGAUGAGCAGUGAAAUUUAAAUCAAUAGAAUAUUGUGUUACUUCCAGAAGCUAUAGUAAUUUUUUACUUAAAACAUCUAAAAAAAUUGGAAAUGUUUUUUAAAUUUCAGAUGGAAAAAUUAUUGAAGUGGGAAACUAUAAACUUUUUGCCAUAAUUUGACAUCAGAUAUACUGAUAACUAUACAUAAAUAACGCUAACAUGGGAAAUCAAUACAUGGAUAUGUAGAAGUUUGAACAUAGAAAGGAACUCACAAUGAUCUCUGCAAUCACACGUGGCUGCCUUAUUGGCCUUAAAAGAAAAGCAAGGCCCCUUGUUAGUACAACUACCAGACAUAUCUGCACAAUGGCAAGAGGAAGUGCAUAAUCAAGGGGGUUAUCACCCUGGAAGAGGCCAUUUGAUGUAGCCUUCAUUGGCGAUGGACAUUUCUGUCCAACUGUAGCAUUAGAAGCCAUUGCACUGGGACAAUACUAACAGAAAAGAGCACUUCACGCUUCAGUUCCAGCAAAGAGAUAUAGCUUGAGAUUAGGUGGAAAAAAUGCCAAACAAACAGAAGGAGAAAAGGGGAAAGUUUUAUGAUUUUCUUAAACAUGAGUUAGUUCAUGUGAGAUGGUGACAGCUUAGCAUAAAAAAUGAAAAUUACGACAAAAUUAGAUAGUAUUUAAAUGCAGGAGAACUAAAGAAGAAAUUUAAAGCAAGCUAUGCACCUGAAAUAGAUAAGCAAAUUUGAUCUAGUAAAGACAGGAACAAAUUCACUUUAUUAUUCUGCUUUCAAGAUAUUUCAAGUUUUUUUUUUUGUUUUGAUAAGCUUUCAGGAUGUUUCAAGUAAUGCAAAGUAUGGCAAUCUAAUUUGCUCUCCUUUCUUUUCCUCUACUUAUAAGCAGCCAAAUAUGAAUCAGAAAUGGGGUUAGAAGCCAAGGUGAUAAAUCAAAUAAUAGCAUUCAAAACAGAAAACAUAAUUCUAGUAAAAAUAUGUUACAGUUUCAUUAGUGAGAAAGUAAGAAAAGCCAGGUUAAAAAAAUUGAAAAAGAAAAAGACAGCCUCUAGCUCUAAUACCAUAAUUUGAUCCACUCAACCUCCCUUGGAGCUAAGAUAUGAUUUUAAAACAAAAACAUAGGAAUUAUUUUGCAAAAAUUUGAAAAUUGGAAUGAAGAAACUUACUCAAAUUAUGAAAAGAUACGUAUGGAGCGCUCCAACUUUAUAAGGUAUUUAUCCAGAGUUCCUACAAAAAAAAAUAAAUAUGAGUAAACAGUUUGUAACUGAAGCAAGCAACAAAAAAUAAUCAUAAUAAAAAGAACAAUCUGAGUCGAGAUCUACGAAGCAAUUGGGACCGAAUUCCUAAUGGUAAAAUGAAAAAUUACAGAAAAGGUUUCAAUUUUCAAAAAUGGCUUAAUCUUUUAACAAAUAAUUUAAAAAUUAAACGGACUUUUAUAAGAAAUAGAUGCAGAGUUUAAAGGAUUUGCAUUAGUUAAUAUAUUAGCUAAAACAAUGACUUUACAACAAAUCCUGAUAUAACAGAAAAGAAAACAUUCUAUUAAAGGUUUCAAUUGAGGUUUUCUAAAAUUCACGCCUCUUCGUUAAAUACAGAAAAAGAAAACAUAACAAAACGAACUAUUUUUGGUUAAUUUUCACUAAGCUUUUGAGUUUCUCGGCAGCCAAACAGAGCCAGAUAUAACAGAUGCACAUGAGCGUCAUUAAAAAAAAAAAAAAACUACGCAUUAAAAGUACAUUCUAUUUCCCUGGAGAAGUUAUCUGUUGCAUCGACAAACUGUAAACGAAAAAUAUAUGAAACCGCUGAUUUAGGCGAGAUAUCAGGCAUACUCAAAUAGCAUGCAAGAUCCCAGAAUUACCUAUGAACUAAAAAGACAAUCCAUUUAUCCAGAAUUCGAGUGACACAUCCCAUAAAACUCAACAGGAAUCAGAAACAGAGAAACAGAACAGAGUUUUUUUUUUUUUCUCUCUCUCCAAAAGAGCAGUUCACGAAAUCAACAAAAAAAAAAAACAAGAAACACACUCUGCAUUGUAGAGAAUAAUGGGCAAUACCUUUUUUUUACAAAAGAACCAAUUUGGGUUCUCUUCACCCGAUCGAGAGGUUUCCAGAGAAACAGGUCUUCCGGAGUUUAGAUGAAAAAAACCGAGUAACGAUGAUAUCAGAGAUUUAAAUAAAUAUUUUCUUUUGUGUUUUUUCGGAUCACAUUCACAUGGGCAUGCGUUUGGAAGAUGCAGAGAGUUAUUGACUUCGAAUAGGACACCUGUAGUAUACUAUGAUAUCCUACUGGUUUUUAAGUUGGGAAGAUAAAGAGGCACGCCUCCUUUUUGAGUUUUUAUAAGUCUAAAUCUCUUUCAUUUGGAUUUGACUUUUUCCACCGCUGUAAUUGUGAUGGGCUUUUUUUAGAUUGGGUGGAUUGCACUAAUAUUACUGAUUUGAAAAUUUAAAAAGUUUUUAUGUAAUUCAAUUUGGAUUCUUUAUGGAAUUUCCUUUCCUGUUUCAACUUUCUUUUUUAACAUUUAAAUUUCAAAUGUCAAAAUAUCCGUCAUUUAUUAAUAUGAAAAUAUUGAUAUUGAUCUCUAUUGUCAUUCCUAAUUUGCCACCUCAGUUCCUUUUUAGAGUUUUAAUUGCAUUAUCUAAAGUCAAUUAUGAAAGAAAAUUUUUUUAAUUGAUUUAUGUAUUUAUAUCUCUAUUUUAUAUAUAUAUAUAUGAUCUACAAUUUCAUAUCAAAUGACAGAUAAAUUGGCCAUCCUAUACUAUAUCAAAUUAGUUUUUCGAAGAGAAAGCAUUGACGUGUAAUAUAAAAAUUUAUAUAAUAUUUGCUGGAUAAAGAAAUUAACUGGAAGAAAAAGCAGCCAAUCAGAGGGCGGGUCCCACAUUUCGGUUGUGGGGAUCACGAUGAUCACCGUUCCAGUGUGACGGCGAAAGUGGGGAUAUAUUUCUGUUCAAGAAUGUGGACUGAAGCUGCUUUCCCUUUGGAUUGAGCGGUCGUCCUCGUGUUUGAUUCCUUAACUUGCUUUUCUAAAGGGGGGGGAUUCUUGUCCGUCGUGGCACUUUUGCUGCUUUAAGAACUAGUUGAAUGGAUAUAAUCAAACGCCAUUACACCAUAUAAAACUAGCUAGAUGCAAAAUCUAUUAUCACUAACAAAGUCCUUUAGCCUUGAGCCUAAUUAUGCUGCCUUUCUUUUCUCAAUUCUCCCGCAAAUGCCAUUAAUAAAUGGCAGCUCCCACGACAUUUAUAGAAUCUUUGGUACAGGAAAGAACUAACUAUUUUUUCUCUAUUCUCUUUUUUUUUUUCCUAGUGUGGUUGACAAUUGUCGCAAGGAAUAAUUAGUCUUAAAUAUUAAUUAAUUUUCAAAAUCAACCAAAAGUCAUACUUAACAAAAAGUAUUUGCUAUUUCAUAGUAGACAUUACAUGGGUAGAUCUGAUCGUGAAAAGCACUAAUCUGAUGCUCUAGUGGCUAAUGGCCUCACACCAAUGACUGUUUUCUAGUUCCACUCAGACCAUCACUCUCCAAAUAAGACGUGGUAAGCUGGCAACAAAAUAAAACUCUCUCUCUCUCUCNUACUACUACUACUACUAUCUCUCUCUCUCUCUCUCUCUCUCUCUCUCUCUCUCUCUCUCUCUCUCUCUCUCUCUCUCUCUCCUUAAAGAAUGGUCAACUUUCCUCGUGCUCUUACGUCCAUUAAACGUUGCAAGAAAGUGUGGUCAGGACUCAAAUCUGUCAAGGUUCCGUACUUAAUUCGGCUGAUAUCUUAGUAACAAGAAUAUUCUCCUGAAAGAGCCUUCCUGACACCACACGACAACUGUAAUCGUUCCAAAAAGCCUAAUGCAAUCUCUCCAAUCUCAGUUUGCAAUAUCAUUAUAAGAUAUAAGAUCAGGAAAAAGAAAUACCUAAACAACCCAAUAUCAUAGUUUUGGAUCGCAUACGAAGCAUUAAAAGUAGAUUUUAUUUCUCCGGAGAAGUUAUCUGUCGCAUCGACAAAUCAAACCGCUGAUUUAGCCGGCCAUGUAUCAGGCAUACUCAAAGAGGAUGCAAGAUCCCAGAAUUAUCUAUGAACUAAAAAGACAAUCCAUUUAUCCAGAAUUCAAUGCGGCAUUUUCCAUAAAACUCAACAGCAAUCAGAAACAGAGAAACAGAGCAGAGGUUUUGUUUCCCAAAAGAAGAGUUGAGGAAAUCAAUAAGAAAGAAAUACAAGAAGCACACUUUGCAUUGCAGAGAAUAAAAGGGAAUACCUUUUCUUACGGAAGAACCACUAGAUUCCUGAACGAGAGGUUUCCAGAGAAAGGGUCCUCUGGGAUUUCACUUCUGAGUGGUAAUGUUAAAACUGGAAGUAUGAACAGAUCGAGAGAAACUAGAACCAACGUUUUGUAAUAUUUGUGAUCUAUUUCCCUUGACGAAAAUUGCAAUACAUUCUGCUAUUUAUAAGUGCAGUUCUGUCUUCAGUCUUCAGUACUGUAACAAACUUAACAGAAUGUAUGUAAGCUAGAUUACAAGAUAACCUCAACAAGUUAAUGAUAUUUGGACAAAUGCCAUCAUGUUGACAGUUACCGUUAACUGCCAUGUGCCCUGCACAUGCUCAAAUCUUGCAUGUUGCACAUGAUCAAAUCCUCCACUCUUAACAGUAAACGACCAAAUAACAAACAUAUUUGAGAUUUCAAUAAACUUUUUCUUUUGCAGCAAAAAAGGAAGAAAAAGAAGCACAAAUUUGUUUUUUCGGGAUCGCAUUCACAUGGGCAUGUGUUUGGAAGAUUAAGAAAUUAAAGUUGUUUUUCUACGUAGACAAAAAUGCCAUGUCGAGUAGGCAGGGAGAACAGAAAAGUUACGUAAAUGUUUGCCUAAUAAAGUAAUUAAGUGGAAGUUUAGCACCUAAUAAACAAAGUGCUUAAUGAAUGACUAAAACGACAGUGACAGCAGACGGUAGGUCCCAUAUUUCGGUUGUUGGGAUGACCACGAUAACCUUUCCGAUGUGGUGGCAAAGGUGGCAAUAUAUUUUUGUUUAAGAAGUUAGACUAAAGCUGCAUUCCCCUAGCAUGUUUGAUUCCUUAAAUUGCUUUUCUAAAGAGAAAGGAUUCUUGUCAGUUGCCACUAGUGGGACUUUUGGCUGCUUUAAUAAUUAGCUGAGAGUAAAUAAUCAAACACCAUUACACCAUAUCAAACUAGCCAGAUGCAAAAUCUAUUAUCACUAACGAAGUUCUUUAGCCUUGAGCAUAAUUAUACAAAUGGCAGCACCCAUGAUCUUAAACGUCAUAUCCAUAUAGUGGGUGGAGGGGUUGGGCCUUUGGGGUUUGACUAACUCUCUCCCUGCUGCUGAUAUUCAAUGUACUUUUGGGUUUUGGCAGCAUUGAGAUAUCAGAAAUGGAGCACUAGCUUUAGAUGACAUUCGGAUAGCCGACAUGAUAAGGGUUUGAUCUUUUUCCUAGUCGGAAAUGAUCGUACAUCAAGUAUGGGUUUGAUCAACGCGUCUCCUGUUUGUAGAAUUCCAGCUAGAAGAGACAAUUACUAACGAUAUUAAAAUAAAAAAAAAACACUUCAAAAAGAAAAUUAUUGAUGUUUACGGCCAGAAACAUUCCAUGAAAUGGGAAGGAUUAAAAGCAGGAUAGUCAUUGGCUAGGUGUUUAUUGUUAUUGACUUAUUGUCCAGUAUAUCGACUUCGUUUCUUAAUGAAUGAAGUAUGCAUUAUGAAAGAGAGAGGUCAACUUCAUGGUAUAUAUAUAUAUCGGUUAUAACCAUGCAUGGACUUGUUUGACUGUCGGCCAAACGUGAUUCUCAGGCCUAAACCUAGGCACUUAAAAUAUAUAAAGAAUUCCCAGAAUCUGAUCUAUGGGAAAGAAACUUGGAUUCAAUAUCAGUAUUAAAUGAGCUGUGCAUUUAAAGCCGACAGAAGAAAGCAACAAAGAUUAAUUAGGGGAUGUCAAACAGGUAAAUUGCCUACUAGGCACUAGCCCUAGUUCGAGUUCAGUCAUUCCCGGACCCUGGUGUACGAUUUUGCACUAACCUGACUUAGUGGCAUUUUCUGCUGCAUUUCUUCAUAAUUGAGAAGGUACUUGUCAGUUGAACUUUUGUUCCACUACAGGAACUGCUCAUCAGUUGACAAUAUGGCUCAAGGGUUGGAGUCAUCGUCGGCAUCAACUCUAGGCCUACAAGGGUACAGAAAGAAAAGAAGACCCGGACAUGCUAAAAGCACCCAACACACACUGGACGCCAGCUUCUAGAUGAGAAGAUUGCAUUCAGAUGCUGUAUCCUUUCCCAGAGCCGAAGGCCAAGCACAAUUUCCUCCCUCCAAAAUCGUAUGGAAAAAUUGACAUGUCAAACUCUCCCGUGAACAUGAAACGGUGUCGGUGCAUGCAUUGUAGACAUGUCUCAUCAUGUGAUGCAUGUCAAGACAUCAAUUUAAUCUAAAAUGGUUCAUUUUUCUUUUUCAAUUACAUCUUUAAGCUUUAGAAAUCAAUCUUUCUAGAAUUCUACCUUCUUCUUUUCUGAUGGGAUGUAAAAUUAUGUAAAAGGGAACUGAUACUAUUCGAUAAGAUAUGUGCGGCCAUUGAUGAAUUGGGCAAUGAAAAAAAGUUUCUUUCAUUUUGCAAAACAACAAAAAUAGCAAUCAGUGGACUUAUUUUUGAAAACAAAUCAAUAGACGGUUUAAUCAGACAGCAGGACGAUGGGGCGUGUGGAGAAACUAAAUGGAAAAUUAUGAAAGGUUGGAAUAACUUUCUUAUCUACUUUAUUUAACGAAAAGUAUUGGUUGAAAUUAAUUAAUGCCAUCAACCAGACGUUAUAAUUUUUAAGUUUCAAAUUUAAGCAUCAUGAUACAUGAAUUUCUCUCAAUUUUAUUUUAUUUUUUUAUAAUAUUCUUAUAUAAAAAUAUUAAUUACGGGUAUAAUGCUUAUUUUGUGUUAUUAUAUCAUAGUUAUAAUGGUCCUUGUUAUUAAUUAAUUAGUACUACAACAUAAUUGCAUUAAUCAUCAUAAGGGUAUAAUGCUGAUUUUUAAUAAUUAAUAUAUUUAAUUUUCAGAAUCAUGGUUGUAAUCUGAUCAUGAUGCUGUACAUCCAACUAUCCAAGGCAGAGCAAAGUUGAUCAUGCACUUUCUAUAUCCGGAUCGGGCGUCUCUGCAACCUUCGUAGAAGUUACUGAAGGAGGAGGUGAGUGCUUCGUAAACUGUUGCACCACCAAAACAGAUGCUGAAGUUGAGAAUUCAGGGGAAGUCAACAGGGUGCCUACUGGCCCUAGUUCAGGGCAGUCGCUCUUGGCAUUCAAUGUGGCUGCAACCUGACUCUCAGGCAUUCGACCGACCAGGAAAAGAUUGCAUCGGCUGAAUUCUCGAAUUACUUCGAUCGUUUCCGUUGAAUUUUGCACUACUCUUUCUUCAUAACUUAUUGUGCUGUCAUUUGAGAUUUUCUUCUUAAAUUCAAUCAGAGCCCGUUCAUCAGUUGACCCUUCAGAAGCAUUGGAGAUUGUGUUUAUAUCAGUUCGGACGAUCUCAUCGCCUGAAAUCUCAGGGCCUGGUAAGAAGCGAAUAACGGUUAGACUGAUGCCAGGGUGCUCGGCCAUACGUGCACCAUAAGUAAGGGCUUCACGAUCAUCAUGUCCCCCAAAGAACAAGACCGUUGUGAUGGAAGAAACAUUGCUUGCAGAUAUAUGGGUAGUUCCACCAAGACCGCGAUCAACUAAGAUCCCCACUGAGCAUGGUGCUUCCGCGAGAACUUGCUUAUUGACCGAAUGGAACUCGGUUCGAGUUGUCUCCAAUGACCCAUCCAACCUCUGGUGCCUAUGAAACGGGAGAAUUAUCAUGGCUGCCCUUUUUCUUUCAGCACUAGUGCAGAUAUCCUCGUGCAUGCCAGACAUUGCUGAGAUUGCCGUCAUUGGGCGGACAGACACUCUGCUUAGCUGCCUGAAAGUCUCAAAAGCAACAACAACUUGAUCACUAUUUGAUUGCUUCCCCUUAUUCCAGAAAGGUAGCCCAUUCUUUCUAGCCUUGUGGACCAUAAGUAUCGCAGACGGCCUUUCUGAGAGUUCCAUGAGGUGCAUUGCAUAGACACAUAGUCCUUCCUUUUUCUCAGUUCCGCGUGAAGCCUCAAUGAGAUUUAUCAUAGAGGGGAUGUUUCUUGUACUGUGGAAGCAGGCCAAUAUUCGAAGCUGAGUAUUAGUGUCUUUCCUCUCGAUUGUCCUGUAUUUGUGAUCACGUUUACUCAUUCUUUUAGCCGGCUUAUACACCGCCAUCACAAGAGGAGUAGUUAUAAAAGUGGUAAAGAUUGCCAUCAAAACCAUGAUUGCAAAUGUUUGAUCAUUCAAUACCUGCAAUAUCAAUUGGAAACGGUGAUUGAUCAAGUAUAAUAUAUAAACGGAAAGAAUGUAUAACUGUACAAGGCCUUAAGACCAAUCCAACAGCCAAAAAGUAAGUUUUACCUUCCUGUCUUUACCAAUGUUUAGAACAAUGAGCUCUACCAAGCCUUUAGUAUUCAUGAGGAAGCCAAGAGCUGCAGCCUCCUGAAAAGGCACCUUGCACAUAAGGGAAACGGAUACAGUGCCAACUAUCUUUCCAAGACAUGCUGUAAUGAUCACAAGAACGAGGAGACCCCAAGACUGAGCCCCUCGAAUCGUGGCUACAUUUGUCUUCAAGCCACUGGAGACAAAAUACAGAGGAAGGAAAAGGCCAGAUACAAGAUCUUCAACUUUUUCCACAAGGGCACCAGCAAAUGGCCCUUCCUUGGGGACAAGAACUCCAAUCACAAAGGCACCAAAGAGGGCAUGAAUUCCAAUAGAAUCAGUAACAAAACCAGCUGCCAAAACAGCAGCCAAAGUAGCACAUAUGUACAGCUCUUCCACUGGUUCACCCUCAGGGCAACGCUGUGCCAUCCAUUUAAAUAUAGGAGGGACAAUGAAUAUGCAGCAAAGGACAAAACCAGAACCACACAAGAAAACCCAUAAUGAUACUAAGGGAGAAUGGCCAGUUCCUGAUAGGGCGAUGGCAAGAGCUAGCAGAAUCCAUGCAGCCACAUCAUUCACAGCUGCCGCUGACAUUGCCAUUCGGCCAAUAUCUGUAGUCAAAAGCUUUAGUUCAGCCAAAAUACGGGCUAAGACAGGGAAGGCAGUAAUGGAAAGAGCAACCCCCAUGAAGACAAGAAAUGGAGCUUCAUCUACACCCUUUGAGAUAGUUGCAUGGAGGGCAAACGAUGUUCCUAUUCCUAACGCAAAAGGAACGCUAAUCCCUGCAAGGGCUAUACAUAGAGCUUUCUUUCCAGUGCGGCGGAGUGAUUUUGGAUCCAACUCUAGGCCAACAAGAAACAGAAAGAAGAGGAGACCAAGAUUUGCCAAAGUAUCCAACACUGUGAGGCUUCUGGACGGAAAGAUUGCAUUCAAAUACUUUUCGUUUCUACCCAGAGCUGAUGGGCCAAGCAAUAUUCCUCCCUGCAAAGAAAGUGGGAAAAAAAAAUUGAAUAGUCAUUCUCCCCACUACUUAAGCGUCUCUGUCCAAAAGAGACUAUAUAUGGAAUCAAAAAAUUGCAGCACUGACUGUUCAAGAAAUUCAGAGUAUGCAUACGAAGAGAGGAACUUACAACAAUCUCGGCGAUGACACGAGGCUGUCGUAAAGGCCUAAGAAGAAAAGCAAGGAUGCGUGUGAGGGCAACCACAAGGCAUAUCUGAAGGAUUGCGAGAGGGAGUGCAUAAUCCAGAGGAUUAUCACCCUGGAACAACCCGUUAGACGUAGCCUUCAUGGGAGAAGGGCAAUGACUUGCAGUUGUGGCAUUCGUGGCCAUAUUGCACCAGUACAACCACCACUGCUAUCACAAAACGAAUUUGCUGAUUCUAAUUUCAAUACCUGCAUCCACAGAACGGAAAGCAAGUAAAUCACAAAGAAAAUAAUUACAAUCAUUAAGCGUUGCAGAUGUUUUACAGUAAAUAAUAGGACCAGCAAGAUCAAACUUGGGUUGAGCUUUUCAAGUCUGGUACUGGGAGAGGUGCUUUUUUCUUUUUUGAUAAAUGGUGGGACAUGAUACUUUUUCUCCAUCCAGAAAAAGUUUGUCUAGUCAAUUUUAUCUGGCUUGCUUUCCUAAUUCUAACUUUCCUCGUCAUACUCAAAAUCCAAUUAUGGUAUCCCAAUUUGCCAGCUUUGUUCCCUUAUUUUUGUCUCAGCAUCUAAUUUUUGGUAAUUCCUACUUAUGUCGAAUAUAUAUUUGUUUACAAAAUUAAAUUUUGAUUGAUAAUAAGGUCUUCUAAUUUUAAUUUAUGGUUUGUUUCCUAAUUCUAAUCUAGUACUAGCAGUAUAAUUCCUAAUUCUAGUAUUAUCCAAUUAUCAAUAAAAUCAGAAGUCCAAAAUAUAAUUUAUUUGAGCCUUAAGGCUUAAGUAUUCCAUCUUAAAGGUUUCAUAUAUUUAACAACUAAAAUAUAAUAUCAAGAAUGCCAGGUGUAAUAAAAAUUAUAAGAAAGUAUACAGUAAGACUUGGGAAAAAUAAAUAAAACGUGAAAAAUCCUUUAAAAUUCAGCCAUGAUCAGCUCUCCAUGGGACCAUAGAGCUUCCCGACAUAUGGGAACCAUAUGAUAAAUAAAUUAAAUAAUGAUAAAUCAUGUAAACCUAACAUGACAUAUAAUCUAAAAAUAAAAAUCUCCGCAUUAAUUCUCCCUUGCAUCCACAUAUUAAAAAAAGUAAAAAAUAAUACAAAAAAACAAAUCUUAUACAUGCCAACCUCUUAUUUGAAUAAAUCACAGAUAUUUCUUACCAACGUAUUGAUAUUACAGUAAUCCAAUUUAUAAUAAACCAUAAAUGGAAGAGAUUUACUAAAAUCAAGCAAAAAGGGUAUAGAAUAUUAAUUAACUCAAGCUUAGUCUUAAGAACUGUUACUAAAUAUUUUGGGAAUUAGGUUAAGGCUUAAAGCAAUUUUCCUUAUGAUAUGUAUCAAAAAAUAAGUUUAAAAAAGAAAUUGAAAGAAUUAUUAUUUAGGACAUGAGCAGGGGCACAAGUGUCCUUUCCACGUGGUUGAACGUUCUAACUAAACAGACUAGGAGCAGGAGGCUCUGCGCUUUCCGCGUUGCCUCGUCCAAGCAACGGUAGCAGCCUGCAUUUGCCAUGUGCUCCCAAAGACAGUAAUGCCCCCAAACUCGCCUCUAAUUUACAAUCUCAACCACUAAACGUAAUUUAACAACCAAACAAGAUCUUAAAUUAAUACGAAUCUCAUUUUCUCAAAACUAAGGAAAAGAAAAUGAGACGUUCUGUUUUCGUUAUGUUUUCUUAAUCACCGAACAGACUUGAGAAAAUGAGAAGAGCAGGAGAAGGAGAGAGAGAGAGAGAGAAAGAGUCACCUGAAUCUGCACCGAAUGAAUCUGGUGAGUUUAACUAAUCACAUUCGUUUUCUCUUCAUAUUUAUCAGAGAAUCUCUGUUUAUAAUCAGAAGAAAUGAAGAAGAAGAGAAUAGCGCAUUGGCGUGUGGCAGGCAGGUAGGCGAAAACCUUUCAUUUAUAGACCCCGCGUAAUGAUUCAGCUUCCGGUUUUGCCCCAGAUGACACCAACUUCCUAGUUCCCACUAUGGUUAUUGCAAUUUCUUUUUUCAUGACAAAACUACCCUUACUUAAUCAUAGCUUAAGAUAUAUUAAAAUGUGCUUUCUUUAGUGCCUUUUUGGGUAACGAAUUGUAAUAAAGAGAGAAUUUCCAUGCAACUGUAACGAGUUUGUAGUUUUGAAGGAAGUUAAUCCUAUCACGAUUUAUGAAUCUAGAACGUAAAUAGGCAACCUUCAUUGAACUCUUUAAUGCUACAAGGAGAUAAAAAAAAAUGAUGUUUUAAAAAGUUUUUAAAUUAUUUAAAAAUAUUGAAAUAAUUUUUUAUUCUCUUAUUGCAUUUAAUUAAGUUUAUAUAUUUUUAUUUUUGAUCAUAUAAAUAUUUAUGACUAUCCACGUGACGCUUAUGUGAUGUUAAUAUGUAAGAUAAAAAUACCACGUGACUAUGUCAUUUUGUCACAUUAUUAUAUUACAUCAUCUAUUAUAACAUGUUAGUAUGUCACGUUAUUCACUAUGAUAUGUUAACAUAUCACGUUAGUAUUACAUAGUAUAAAAUGAUUAGUAACAUUAGUUAACCGUUAAUUACAAGAAUCUAUUUGAUUUAAAAUAAAAAUAUAAAAAUAUUAUUGAAUAUAAUAGAAGAAUAUGUAAGUAUUUAUUUGAAUUUUUUUAAAUAUUAUUCACAAAAAAAAAAAGAAAACAAACAAACAAAAAAUAGUUGAUGGUUCUUGAACAUAGAUUAUAACAUAAUCUAAACUAAGGGAACAUAAAUAGUAAUUAGAAUGUGAUAAACAUGUUAACUUGUGGGAUUGAUGUUGUGCCUUGCUAACUUUCCAAUUAAUUUAAGUUAUAAAUUAUUCUCAUUUUUCUAUGCUCCAUCUUUGAAUUUUAUUGCUCCUAGGCUCCUAGCUAUAUCUAGAGUAUCAUAAAUAGUAAGUAUCAAAUAAGAAAUAUUUUAUUUGUACUCGAGCAUUUGACUCAUUGAUUGGUACAUUAUUUCCUUAUUUAAAAAAGCAAAGUUCGAAUCUUCCUUCUUCAAUUAUAUAAAAAAAUAAAAAAUAUUUUAUUUAUGUUAUAUGACUUCAAAAUGAUUGUUUCUCCGCAAGUAAAGCAUUUAUGUGGAAGGAAGAGAAUAAAUGUGUCGGAUUCCUCUAUGUGUAUAUCACUAGCAUUUUCGUGCAAACUAUUUCAGAUCAGAUGCCCUUCUUGUUUAUGCGCUUCUCGGCAAGGAAAUAUACGAUACAUAAAUCACAUCAUAUGUACUCUCAUGGAUUCCAAUUAUUCCUUUGGACAAGCUAAGGUUAAUUACAAAGACUUAUAUAUUGAAAUUAUUAAUUAACUAUGAAAGUGACAUACAUGUUGAAUUAUUGCAAUUUUUAUUAGUGCCAAGCAUGAACAAUUAACAAAUAUUAAAAAUUAGCUUUACGGCAAUUUGUAUUGACCUGUUUCAAAAAUCAUCGCCAUGCCAACACGUUAUCAGUACGAAAUCUAAACUUGAUCAGUAUCAUAAAUGGAUAUUCUUUGAAACUAAACUACUUGUAGAUAACUUGUGUCACGCAAGUUAUUGUCAAAUUGGGAACGAUUUCAACUCUAAAAGUUUGAAUGGGAACCUCUUGUGGUACUGGUUCUGUACUGCUUGCAUCAUGUGAUGAAUCUUUGUGUCAUUCACAGGUUUCCGGGCAACAUUUGCAUGACAUGGAAAAGGAGGGAGAAUUUUUUUAAUAAAAUACCAAUAUUGACUUGGUCCAAAAUUGAAUCUCCCGCUGACUUUUAAAACAAGUUUAAUUAAAAAAUGAAAUACCACCGUCUUCAAUGGGGUGGAAAAGGAUAUUUCACAUUCUUUAGUCGCAAACCUUAAACAUAUUACGUAAUGAUUUUUUUUAUAAUCAUUAAAAAGGAGAUUUGAAUUCUAUUUUCUCCCCUAACUUACCCUCAUCUGCAACAAUUCCUUAAUUAAUGCAUAAUAUAUAUUUAUAUAUAUAUAUAUAUAUAAAGAGGUUUGAAUUUAAAUGGUUGGUUAAAUAUUUCAGAUAAAGUUUUUCAUAAAAGUGCUAUUUUUUUCUUAAAUUCUUUCAAUAAAAAUAACUUUAUAUUAUUUUUUUUUUAAAUGAAUUUUAUACUAUCGAUAUGUCAAAGAAAAUCUCGAAUUAUAAUUGCCUAAGACUCUCAUUGGCAUUAAAAUCAGCUUGAUUAAAAAAAGAGAGAGAAGGAAAUACAUGGUUCAGCUGCACUAAAAAGUAUUGGCAACAUCAUCAGAAGAACAACAGCGUAAACAAAAAAACUCAUUGCUAGUCGAAACCAAAAGCUGGCAGCAAAAUCAGUUAUAUCAUUGAUUUGAUAGCCCAAAACUUACGUAGGAUCCAUGUCAAAGUAAUAAAAUUUUAAUACAUAGUUCGUUUUUGUUUGAGAACUUAAUGAAAAUUACGUUUAGUUUUUAUUAACAAACCUUAGAUGGAUCAGCAUUUGAUAGAGUCAACCCCCACCCCCCCAUACGGAUAAGUGAUUGGAAAAUAUUUGGCAAGCUCUGCAAUGAAGUCGCUGUACAAUUGCAGCCCUGUAAAGGUUACAAAAAAAAAAC